rfam:Candidatus Zambryskibacteria bacterium RIFCSPLOWO2_01_FTLL_45_43 rifcsplowo2_01_scaffold_13945, whole genome shotgun sequence.
GCCUGCGUAGCUCAGUGGUUAGAGCGAGCCCUUCAUAAGGGUUAGGUCGGAGGUUCGAUCCCUCCCGCAGGCA